CUCUUAUUUUUUCUUUUCUUCUUCCUCUCUCUGAUUCUUCCUCUUCAUACCCAUCCUCUUUCUGUUUUCAUUUGUUAAUGGUUGGUGGUGGUUCGAUUGGGUGGUGAUAGUGGUUCAACUGGGUUUGUGGCAGUUAUGGUUCGACUGCUUUGGUGGUGAUCGUGCUUUGGAGGUGCCGGUGCGGCAAACUAGACGAUGGGUCUGGAUCGGUGGAGAUGGGUUUCCACAGUGGUGCUCCUCAGUUGAAUUUUUUUUUCUUGGUUUGGUGUGCUUGAUAAGUAAAUCAAGAUCUCAGAUAUUUUAGAAGAAGAAUAGCUAUGGAGAAUUUCAAAGACAAGAAUCGAUGUUGAUUGGUGAAAGAGAGAUGGAAAAAAUGAAUUAUCGUAUGGACUGAAAACGAAAACGUUGAAAACGAAAACAACAUAUUUUCGUUUUCAAAUUUUGUUCAUGAAUUGGAUUUGUUUUUGGAAAACAUUUUUAGGGAAAACAAAAACGUUCCACCGAACAGAUAUUUUCCAGAAAACAGGAAAUGAAAACAGAAAACAGGCAGUGAAAACGAUACCGAACGCCACCUAAAUGGUUUGGAUUGAUGAAAUACAAUGUGAUGGGCUCUACAAGAGAGAGAUUAUAAUGGAUUGGGCUAUCCCUCUCUAUUAGUUCACAUAUUUCUUGGAACCAACAAUUUUCAGUGUCACUUUGCAGCCAUCUAUGGCUAUCUCCGUCAUGUGAGUCUUGGGCACCACGUUAGCCUACUUUCCAGGAAAAAGCCACAUUGACAUUUGACUCGCCUUUCUCUGACUACACUCCCUGAGUCGUCCACAAACUAAUCUCUCUCUCUCUCUCUCCUAUAUAACAUACAAAAAUCUUCAUUUCAAUACAAAACUCAGACCAUUCCAACAAAAACCCCAUUUACCAGAAUUUCAGAGAGCCCCCAACAAAAAGCUCCACAAAUUAUGGAGCUUUUUGAUUUUUCAAAGCACGGUACUCUCUCAGCCUUCUUCUCACACAACUCAUCAUCAUUCAUUAAUUAUCCUGGUACCGAUUUUCUUCUCAAACCGGUUUUCAUACGUGGGUUUUCUUGCUCAUUACACCUAGUUUUGUUAUUUGUGUUGCUCGUCUCUUGGGUGUGGAAGAAAUUCAAGGUGGGUGAUGGAGAGGGUCCAAAACAGAGGUUUGGGAGCAUUCAAAGUUGGUAUUAUAAGCUAACUUUACUCUGUUGUCUUGGUGUUUCUGGGCUCAGUCUUGUUUUUUGUUUAUUGAACUACUUCUAUUGGCAUAGAAAUGAUUGGUCUGAGGAAAAGCUAGUGACCCUUUUUGAUUUAGCCAUUAGAACACUUGCUUGGGGUGCUCUUUGUGUCUACUUGCAUACCCAGUUCUCUAAUUCUUCUGAAUCAAAGUUCCCAAAUUUAUUGAGAGUUUGGUGGGGUUCCUACUUUUCUAUCUCUUGCUAUUCCCUUGUGAUAGAUAUUCUUCUUUACAAGGAACACGUUUCCUUGUCCGUUCAAUCUUUAGUUUUUGAUGUUGUCUGCGUCAUCUCGGGUUUGUUCUUUAUAUAUGUGGGGUUUUUUGGGAAGAAAGAGGGCAGAAAUACCGUUCUUGAGGAACCCCUUUUGAAUGGUAAUGGUAAUGCAGAGUCAAAUAAUUCCAAAGGGGGUACACCUGUUACCCCUUAUUCAAAUGCUGGAAUUUUCAGCAUCCUUACUUUUUCUUGGAUGGGUCCUCUAAUUGCUCUUGGCAAUAAGAAGACAUUAGACCUUGAGGAUGUUCCUGAACUAUACAAGGGUGAUAGUGUAGUUGGGUCCUUCCCAAAUUUUAGAAAUAAACUUGAGGGGGAGUGUGGUGCGGAUGGCAGAGUUACCACAUUUCAUCUGGUGAAGGCAUUGAUAUUCUCAGUCUGGAAAGAGGUUGGCUGGACAGGGUUAUAUGCUAUAUUUUACAUAUUGGCAUCUUAUGUCGGUCCAUAUCUAAUCGACACAUUUGUUCAAUACCUCUAUGGGCGGAGACAGUUCAAAAAUGAAGGCUAUGCUUUGGUUUCUGCAUUUAUGGUUGCGAAGCUGGUGGAGUGCCUCUGUCUAAGGCACUGGUUCUUUAAGGCACAACAGGCAGGAGUAAGAAUCCGAGCGGUACUUGUUACAGCGAUCUAUAAUAAGGGUUUGACCCUGUCAUGCCAGUCCAAGCAGGGCCACACUAGCGGUGAGAUUAUCAAUUUUAUGACUGUUGAUGCUGAGCGGGUUGGUGACUUCUCUUGGUACAUGCAUGAUCCAUGGAUCGUCAUUCUACAAGUUGGCUUGGCCCUAGUGAUUUUGUAUAUAAAUCUUGGUCUUGCAGCCAUUGCAACUUUAGUUGCAACCAGUGGCGGAUCCAGGAUUCAUUACCUUAAUCUUCAAGAGCCUAUCUACGGUCUUCCAGACACAAUUUCAAUGAUAGCACAAACAAAGGUAUCCCUCGAUAGAAUUGCAUCAUUCCUUAGUCUUGAUGACUUGCCGCCUGACGUUAUAGAGAACCUUCCAAGAGGUAGUUCUGAUACAGCAAUUGAGAUAGUCGAUGGGAAUUUCUCUUGGGAUUUAUCAUCCCCUAGUCCAACAUUGAAGAAUCUAAAUUUCAAAGUGAGCCAAGGUAUGAGGGUUGCUGUUUGUGGUACUGUUGGCUCAGGCAAGUCUAGCUUACUUUCUUGUAUUCUGGGAGAAGUUCCGAAGAUAUCGGGGACUCUUAAAAUGUGUGGGACAAAGGCCUAUGUUUCUCAGUCACCAUGGAUACAGAGUGGCAAGAUAGAGGAAAACAUAUUGUUUGGUCAAGAGAUGGACAGAGAAAGAUAUGAGAGGGUGCUUGAAGCAUGUUCAUUAAAGAAGGACCUGGAAAUUCUAUCGUUUGGUGAUCAGACAAUUAUAGGGGAGAGGGGAAUCAAUUUAAGUGGUGGGCAGAAGCAAAGAAUACAAAUUGCACGUGCUCUGUAUCAAGACGCUGAUAUUUAUCUGUUUGAUGAUCCUUUUAGCGCUGUUGAUGCUCAUACAGGAUCACACCUUUUUAAGGAAUGCUAGCUGGGUCUCUUGGGUUCAAAAACAGUAAUCUAUGUUACUCAUCAAGUGGAGUUCUUACCUGCUGCUGACCUCAUCUUGGUCAUGAAAGACGGAAGGAUUACUCAAGCAGGAAAGUUCAAUGACAUUCUUAAUUCAGGAACUGAUUUUAUGGAACUUGUGGGAGCACACGCGGAAGCUUUGUCCAUGCUUAAUUCUGCAGAGGUGGAGCCAGUUGAAAAAAUAAGCGUUAGCAAAAAAGAUGCAGAAUUUGCUAGUACUAGUGGGGUUGUCCAAAACGUAGAAGGCACUGAUGUUCAAAAGUCUAAAACAGAUGAUUUACCAAAAGGGCAGCUUGUUCAAGAAGAAGAGAGAGAGAAAGGUAGAGUUGGGUUGUCAGUCUACUGGAAGUAUAUCACCACAGCAUACGGAGGUGCUCUUGUUCCGUUUAUCUUGCUUGGACAGGUUCUCUUUCAGGUCCUUCAAAUUGGAAGCAAUUACUGGAUGGCUUGGGCAACUCCUGUUUCAGAGGAUGUGAAACCUGCUGUUGAAACCUCUACACUUCUAACUGUUUAUGUUGCUUUGGCUGUUGGAAGUUCUUUUUGUAUCCUCUUCAGGUCCACAUUGCUUGCAACAGCUGGGUACAAGACAGCCACUCUACUCUUUAGUAAAAUGCAUUUAUGCAUUUUCCGUGCUCCCAUGUCUUUCUUUGAUGCCACUCCAAGUGGACGAAUCCUAAACAGAGCUUCAACAGACCAAAAUGUAGUGGACUUGAACAUGCCGGGUCAAAUUGGGGCCCUUGCCAACUCAAUGAUCCAGCUUCUGGGAAUUAUUGCAGUGAUGUCGCAAGUUGCAUGGCAGGUUUUCAUCAUUUUUAUCCCUGUGAUUGCAAUCUGUAUCUGGUUACAGCAAUACUACAUAUCUUCAGCACGAGAACUAGCACGGUUGGUUGGAGUAUGCAAAGCUCCAGUGAUACAGCACUUUGCUGAAACAAUUUCAGGGUCGACAACUAUUAGGAGCUUCGAUCAAGAAUCAAGAUUUAGAGAUACAAACAUGAAACUGAUGGAUGGUUAUGGUCGGCCUAAGUUUCAUACUGCGGCUGCAAUGGAAUGGCUAUGUUUUCGCUUGGAUAUGCUGUCAUCCAUCACUUUUGGGUUCUGUUUGGUUUUCUUGAUCUCUAUUCCAGCGGGGGUGAUUGAUCCAGGUGUUGCGGGCUUAGCUGUCACAUAUGGACUUAAUCUA